rfam:Echinostoma caproni strain Egypt genome assembly, scaffold: ECPE_scaffold0007665
GCACUGCUGACGAGUCCAAAGCAGCACGAAACAGCUGUCCAGUGC